AUGAUCCUUAGGGAGAGUCCUUAGGAACAAACAUAUUAGGAAAUGCGAUGUAAGGAGAUGAGAGGUAAAUAUGAUGUAGGAGACGACCCUUAGGAUAAAUCCUUAGGGAAGGUACUUAGGAAUAAAGAAGAUAAUGGGGAUGGGUAAUUGGGUUAAUUUUUUGGUGAUUAAACAUAAUAAUUAUAUUAUUAUGAGUUGAAAACCCUAUGUACUCACCAGGUUUCCCAACCUGACCCAUUAAGUUUACUUGUAUCACAGGUGACGAUGUGAAGUUACAUUGCACUGAGAGAUUUAGGAGAUAUAGAUCACUAGUGUAAGUGAAUGUAAGUUCUGUUUAUGCUUAUGUUUCUGUAUUGAUGAUGGCAUCCCAAAUGUUUUAAAAGGUAUAAAAAUACAUUUCUUUGGAAAUGCUUUGAUAAUGAAAUUAUCAUGUUUUUCUAAGAAUAACUUCUGCAACGUUUUUAUUGAAAGAGAUACUCUGAUUUUUAUAAAGCAUAAACAAAAUCAGUCUUUUCUUGCCGUGAAAACUUGGAUGUCACAGUUGGUACCAGAGCAUUAGUUUAAGCGAACUAGGAAUAUGGAUUUAUUUCUAGACUUAAACUUAGAAUGCUAAGCAAUGUUUGUGAGGAGUGUGUCUUAGGUAAUACACUUGAAUAGAUAUAAGCACUAGCUUAUUUAGGGAAAAAUGCCUAACAUGCUUUUAUGUGCUAAAUCAUUUAUGAUAUACAUUAUAUGAUCGGAUCUAUGGUCUAUUGCUAACCGGAUCAGGAAACUUUAUGUGUUCAGGUUUCUAAACGUUUAGUUAUAGUAUUAGAACUGCCAUAUAACUUUUUGGAGAGAUAAGGGGAUUUAUACGUCAAUCAUAGAUAAAAUCUAUCCUAUCCUAAUUCUCGUCAUUACACACCGACUGUCUGAUUUGGUGUAUAGAUCGAAAUGGCAAGAACCCGAAGUGGAGUCAGGAACACGAAUGGAAAUAGGAAUCAACAACCCCCAGUGAUUGAACAAAUACUUGUUGUAGUAACCACACCUGAGCCAAUCACCAUGGUCGGGGUACAAACGAUGAUCCAAAUGAUGAUGGAUCGUCAAAUGGAGGAAACAAGGCGUUACUUCAACAAAAUCAAGGGAAAUUACGAUGCUUAUUGAACAACCUGAGCUGAAUGAUGGGCAGUCAGAAGUAGGGAACUACAGUGGUAUGGUUAGUCAAGACAACCCACCGAUAGUUAGACGAAACAAUUAGGAUGGAGGAAAUGACAAACGUGGAUGCAAGUAUAUGGAUUUCAUGGCAUCCAAACCCUUGAGUAUUUCUGGAAGCCCAUCACCAGUGGAAGUUAUGGACCGGAUCUCCGAGAUGGAGACAAUGUUUGAGAGUUGCGAGUGUAGCAAUCAACAAAAGACCGCCCUUGCGGUCCCUCUGUUAAAGUCUGGAGCACUGAGCUGGUGGAAGCUACUAGCUAACACGAUGCCCAAGGGAGAAGCAAACAAGAUGUCUUAGGAAGAUUUCCUAGUGCAAUUAAAGAUGCAGUACUGCUCUGAGCAGGAUCUUCUGCAGAUCAACAAUGAAUUCCAGAAUCUGAAGAAGGGGAGGAUGAGUGUCACCGAGUAUGCUGCAAGUUUUACGGAGAAGAUCAAUCUUGUUCCUUAUCUAGUUCCAACUGAGCUCUCCAAGGUCAACAAGUUUUCCCACAGAUUACCAGCAGACUUUGGUCCAAUGGUCAAGCAAACAACCACUAUUAAAGCUGCUAAGAAUGUGGAGACCCAGAUAAGAGAAAAGGGUCUGGAGAGAGCUGAAGUUGGCGAGAAAAGGAAGCAUGAAGAAUCUUCAAGGUCCAAAAAGGAGAGGAAAUUCCCAAAGUCUGGAGGAGAAGGAUGUGAAGCAAGAUGGUGUGAGAAGUGAAAAAAGAAUCACUUCGGAAGAUGCGAUGGAGAAGUGACAUGCUAUAAGUGUGGUAGGACCAGUCACUAUUCCAAAGAUUGUACAUUCGACAACAAGAAGUGCUACGAAUGUGGAAGUGAUGGGCAUAUUUCGAAGAACUGUCCAAAGAAGAACGAAGCCGCAAGGCAAAAUGCACUGCUAAAUCUAGAAGCAAGAGCAUUCCAAACGAUCCUUGACGAAGUAGAUGGCAAUGUAAGGAAUCAGGAGUGAGGAUGGAUAUCCGAGGAUCAAUUUAUGAAGAAGCCAAGUGGAUAGUAUUAGGAGGUGUAGCCUAUUAGUGGCAUAGUAUAGGUUGAACUUGAACACCUAUGUAAUCGUUUUAAGGAAUAAUAUAAAACCUUUGUUUUGUUAUCUGAUGAGUCAAUUUGUGAUGUGAUUUUUUUAUGGUUAAUUGGAAAAUUGCGAGACAAUACUUGGGACGAGUAUGAGUAGGUGUGAAAGGUAGUAGAUGCAUAUACUACCGGAAGCAUAGGACUCACGCUUGGAUCAGGGAAAGUCACAAGGUUACCAAGAAGCUAGUAAUUGAAUCCAUUUUAUUCAAGUAUGUCGUUACUACUAUUUUGGUAAUGACUAAGAAGAUGAUUGUUAUUCCGAACCUAGUGGUCAUAUCAAAUUGAGUCCGACUAAGAAGAGUAUGUUAGAUGGUUCAGAGAACCAAGUCUGAUGUAGCAUCUGACAUAAGAUCGAAGCUAGAAAGGAAAGAUAAUCAAAGCGAUCACCAGAGGUAUCGUGAUAGUUGCUUGUAGCUAGGAAUACAACCUUCUAAGAUGUGAUUAUAUCACAUUAGAACAUGAAGGCAGGUAUAGUCUGUUCUGGAAUUUGACUCUAAGAGACUUGAGUCUAAGCAUUGCAACCUACAUUGAUAGGUCAUUAGAAUAUGACACAUCAAUCCAUUGUAGUAAUCAAAAGAGAUUACCUUAAGUUUUUUAAGAAGAAGGAGGAGUCUCCAAUAAGGAUCAAGGUUGUGACUUGUAGGUCAUAAUUUGGAGUCUAACGUGAGAUAGGGAGCAGGUGCAAGAUCGAGCACCACCUGCAGUAAGGGGUCCAAGAGUUAGAUACUCGUUCGAAGCGACAUAGAAGUUACGGUUAUUACCUAAGAUGAUGAGAUAACGUAAGGAGUCAUUAUACAACCCUGUUUUUUUGAUGAUUCCGGGACGUAGGGGAGAUAAUUGUAACGCCAGUAGAUCCGGGGUAGUCACUUUAGAGACAAUGAGCGUCAAAAAUGACUUUUUGAUAGAACAUUAUUAAGAAUAAAUAUUCUUAACCAAGUUAUAGUAUAUGUCACAAAGGUUAUGUACAUAUAAAGAACACCAAAAUCCGAGUUAUAACGAAGAAGUUAUGACCAGUUGAAAUUUUACGGCAAAAUCGGUGCGACACCGGGAAUCAUAAAAAGUGAAUUUACGACAAAAUACUUUCUAGCCUUAGCGAUCUAGACGAAAGUCAUAGUGUAUGUUAAAAUGAGAGCAUGCAUAAAAAGAACGUCCAAAUCUGACUUCGUAUGAGGAAGUGAUGAUUUUUCUAAGAUUUAGCAUAGUAGUGCAUAACCCGAAAUUCGAAUUUUAGAUCGAUCGAUUUUCAGCCAAAAUAAUUUAAAUGAGAAAUGAAGAUAUAGUUAAUAGGAUUUAAACGAUAAAAACACAGUGAAAACGAAGCUCGUAUGCGAAAGAUAUGGACGAAGCUUAGUCUCUGCUUUACGAGCGCGACGAAUUCGAUACAGUUUUGUAAAUCUAAGAUAGAAUGAGAAUUAGCCAACAUGAUCUAAAUAAAAAUUGUAGUACUCGUAAAUACCAACGCGUGGAUAUAAAGAACGUCGAAAAUGAAGCUUGUAUGUUAAAUAUAUGGAUAAAACUUAGUCUUUACUCUUCAAGCGCGACGAAUUUGAAUACAGUUUUGUAAAUCUGAGCUAAAAUGAGAAUUAGUCGACGAGGUCUAAAUGAAAGUUGUAGUACUUGUAAAUACCAAUAUUUGGAUAUAAAUAAUGUAGAAAACGGAGCUCAUACACGGAAGAUACAGACGAAGCUUAGGGGCUACUCUACGAUAAAAUCCCUAUAAAUAAGAGAUGAACUCUUCAUAAUUUCUUCACACAAUAAGCCUUUCUUUCUUUCUCUAACUUCUCUCUAGCCUCCCUAAACCCCUCCCAAGUCUAGAGAACCUCCCUAACACAAGAAGGAAACCCUAGAGCGCCCGACGGCUCCGAGAAGAAGAGCUUUCGGCUCGGAAACGCUGCUCCAGCGAAGCCUUUUUUUAUUUUUUUUAUUUUAUUAUUAUUAAAUAAAAACCGCUGUAAGUGAGCUACAACUACACUAUUUUAGCUUUUAUUUAAAAUAUAGUAAUGUUAUUAGGACCUUAUAAUAAUUAUUUGUGCUAUUAUUAUAAGUUAUAUAAGUGUCGUUAUAAUAUCUUUUUAACCACUCGCGGUACGGGGAAUCUGGUUUAAAGGGCUGCAUAGGAUUGUUGAAUUUUAGAAGUGCUAUAUGCCAAAAUAGUCCUACCCUCCGGUGUUUUAUGUCUGGCCCCCGUCUGUACAUAGUGGUUGGAAAAUAUUAUUUAAACGCUAAUAAUAAUAAUAAUAAUAAUAAUAAUAAUAAUAAUAAUAAUAAUAAUAAUAAUAAUAAUGAGUUACGGUAAAUAUUAGACUAAAAUCUAGUGGUAAUAAUACUAGGUUUCGUCGAAGUAAAUUGUAUUGUUAAGAAGCGAAGCGAAGCGUUGUCUGCAUUUGGAAUCAUCACUUUAACAAGUAAGUUCAUAGUCCCUUUCAUAUUAUACAUAGAUAUGAAAUAUUUUAUAUAAAUUACGUGCCAUGUGUGCAUAUUAUCUGGAUACUUGCUAUCUAUGUUGGAUGAAUGAUUUUAUACAUGUUUUAAAUUAUUUGAACUAUAUAUUUAUUUUAUAUCUACAAAUAUGUUGGGAUAAAACAUGGGUAGAUAAAAUAGUUGAUGUGUGAUAAAAUAAAAUGAUGAGAUAUAGGUGAUGAUAAUUAGGUGAGGACAGAUAGGUGAUGAUGAAUCGGUGAUGUGGGAUGAAAUAUACUAUAACCUUAUCCAACAAUUUGGAGAUGUAGUCAUCUACCAGAGUAUAGAAGGCGACCACAAACUAUUAUAGACAACCUCGUGGAACCACCAGCAGGCUCAUAACUUGUAGGUGAUGAAUUUCGAGUUCAGGCGAUGUUGUAACUACGUAUUCAUGCGAUGAUACUCUAACCCCUUACUAUGAAUUACGAGUUCAGGCGAUGUUGUAACUACGUAUUCAUGCGAUGAUACCCUAACCCUUGUUGGGCACGUAUUGAGGGAGUAAUCCCUGAAUCAAUACUGUCUAUGCGAUGUAGGUGAUGAUCCUUAGGGAGAGUCCUUAGGAACAAACAUAUAAGGAAAUGCGAUGUAAGGAGAUGAGAGGUAAAUAUGAUGUAGGAGACGACCGUUAGGAUAAAUCCUUAGGGAAGGUACUUAGGAAUAAAGAAGAUAACGGGGAUGGGUAAUUGGGUUAAUUAUUUGAUGAUUAAACAUAAUAAUUAUAUUAUUGUGGGUAGAAAACCCUAUGUAUUCACCAAGUUUCCCAACCUGACCCACUUAGUUUACUUGUAUCACAAGUGACGAUGUGAAGUUACAUUGCACUGAGAGAUUAACGAGAUAUAGAUCACUAGUGUAAAUGAAUGUAAGUUCGGUUUAUUCUUAUGUUUCUGUAUUGAUAAUGACAUCCCAAAUGUUUUAAAAGGAAUAAAAAUACAUUUCUUCGGAAAUGCUUUG
rnacentral:lncRNA from 1 species